AUCUCAGGUGGCACAGUUGGGCAGUGUGUCUGGCUGUUAACGAGAAGGCUGCUGGUUCAAGCCCACCCAGGGAUG